rnacentral:lncRNA from 1 species
AAAUGGCACCUAUGGGAGGGAGAUCGGCUCUCUUGUGGGCCCUGGAUUGUUGCUGCACACAGAGGACCCUGACAAAAGGAAACUAGCUAGAUUCAGCUGCUUUAAUUUUUAAAGAAAAAAAGGAGAAUGCUUGAUUUGAACAAGCAGCUCUGUAGCCCCCCCUUAAAUCCUUGUGCUUAUUUUGUACAGUUGGUUUCCAAGGAUCUGCGGUAAAAAUUUGAUCCCGGUGAGGGAAGUGAUGUCAUGUGAGCUGAAAAAGACUUAGAUUAAGACAUCAUUUUAAGACUGGAAAAGAAAUGGAGGCGGGAAGAAGGAGAGGAUGUGGCUUAGCGGUGAGGAGAGAAGAGGAUGUGUUAGGGGAGGGGCAUGUGACAUGUGAGGUCCCAGGAGACAGGAGGUCUGCUUGCGGAGGGAAGGGAAGGCUGUUUGUGCAGAGAGCAGGGCGGGGAAACCACUGUGGGGAACGGGGCAAUUACCACUCUGGGCAGAGGACUGCUGCAGCCAGGAAACCUGAGCUGAGAGCCACAGAGGCGCUGGUUUCAUUGUUGGUUUUAAUAGCUGGUGCACGGCUGUGCCCAUCUAAGGAUGCUGAAGUAUGUGGAAGAAAUAGUAUUCGGCCAGCUGAUAUUUCACCCUACCUCAGGCCACUGAACUCCCUUGCCUGGCCUCCUGCAAGGUCAGCUUGGUGUUUUCAUUGCCUUUGCAGGGCUAGAACUUUUACUUCACCACAGCUACAAAAGAUCUAA